UCCUUUAGGACUAAAUCUUUGACUUAGAAUAUUAGAUAGCUUUAAUCAAGUUUUAUGAAGUUUUUUAUUAAUAUGACAUGCUCCCCUAGGAAAAGUUUGUGAAUAAUCUUAACCCUUAGAUUAGGUUAACCAGUCACUUUCAAGCUAAUUCAAACUCUUGAUUCAAGUUGAUCAAAAGAAAUUUUGAUUAACUAAAUCCUUUGGUCUUGUAUAAUCCCACAGUCUAUUCAAGUGAUCAAAAGACUCGUGAUCACUUGAUAAGACUCUUUUUGUAAGUUGUGGAUCUCAAGGUCUCAAGUUCAGACUCUCAAUCAAGGAAUCCCAGUCAUAUCAAGUAGUGGAUCAUACAAGGCACAUCAAAUAUGGUUCUUCAAGAGCUUGUUAAUCAAGGUUAAAAUUGUGUGGCAUGAGCCUUAAGCAAUAGAUAAGGGAUGAGAAUGGAGAAUUCUUAUCCUCAUUCUGAAUAUUUUGGGUAUGGGACGAAUUACCUAGUUGCUCAUCGUAUUCACCUCUAUUCAUAGACUUUGGUAUAAUUUAAAUCAUAUGAUUGUCAAGUCUCUCUCCAGCAAGAAAUAUCAACACAAGGAGCAUCAAAGAUUCUUCUCUUACAACUUGAAAGUUAUGGUGAGAAUCAUAUGCCACGAGCCUUAAGUAGUGAAGAAUGAAUGUGAGUGGAGAAUUCCUAUCCUCAUUUUGAAUAUCUUUGGGUACGGGACGAAUGACCCAGUUGCUCAUCGUAUUCACCUUUACUCAUAAACUUUAGUGUGGUUCACAUCAAACAACUGCCAAGUCUCCUUCAUAUUCUCUUAUCAAUCCUUUAUUUUUCCUCAAUCACCUUGUUGUCAGCCUUAAUUGGUUGAACUAUGAAAGCUCUGACUUUCUCAUUGCACGGUGAGAAUACGUAUGCAGGAGAAUUCAGAUUCUUCGUUAGCUACCUUAUUUAUUGCUACCCCAUUAUUAACACUUCAUUAUCCAUUCAUAAAGCAAUACCAUAUUUUUGAGAUCGGAUAUCACUUCUCCUUGGACUCCAUGUACAUCCUUUUAGGACGAUAUAAUGGCAGUCCACCUUGUGAACCAAGAGUUGUUUGACUCGUACCCAAAAAUUUAAGUCUUUCUCUUUUGGCUAAGACGCAUGUUUACUCUUUAGUUCAGAGUCUAUUUCCUUCAUGGAUCCAAGAUACUAUCCUUCUUUAAUCUCAAACUGAUUCUUCCCCAGCAAGUGAUAUACUAUUUCUUGUACCCAACCAUACAUUCUUUUGGACCCCAUAUAUACCCUUUUAGGACGAUGUAACGGUAGUCCACCUUAUGAACCAAGAGUUGUUUGGCUCGUACCCAGAUAUUUAAUUCCUUCUUUUGUGGCUAAGACGCUUGUUUACUCUUCGGUUCAAAGUUCAUUCUCCUUUGUGGGUUCCCAUGUUACCAUUCUGUUGGUACAAGUUAUACUUUUUCAUCGCUUUCAAUCUCUCUUUGUUCUCGUGGUUCCACGAACUACGAAUACCCUGAUUUUCUCAUUGCACGAUGAGAAUACGUAGGCACGAGGAUGCGAAUCCUUGGCGAGCACAUUCUUAAUUAUUCCUUCCACCUUAGGGCACCAUUCAUAGCUUUCACUAUCCAUGUUCUAUCUUCAAUCAUUAAACUGGUCACCCCAGUGACAUACUAUUUCUUUGAAACCAGAUACAGUUUCCUUUGGAAUUCCAUAUAUACCCUUUUAGGACGAUAUAGCGGCAGUCUGCAUUUGUACCUAGAGUUGUUUAGCUCGUACCCAAACAUUUUAUUCUUUCUUUUUUAGCUAAGACGUCGUUUCCAUCUAGGGUACAAAUUCCAUUUCUUCUAUGGACUCCAAUAUAUACCCUGACCUUUGGUUCCAAAUUAUACCUUGUCAUUCACUGUUACCAAAACCUUCCAUUUGUUGACUUCGGUUACUUUCCUAUCAUUCCAUUCAUCUCCAUGAUGCAUCCAUGAUUCUACCUUCAUUCACUCCAUAUGAUAUACCCUAUAUCUUUAAGCCAAAUACACUAUCUCUUUGAGCUCCAUCUUGUGUCACCUUGUGAACCAAGAGUUGUUUGUCUCGUACACAAACAUUUAAUUCUCUUUGUUUUUGGCUAUACCAUAUAGUGGCAGACGCUUUCGGCUACCCACAUAUUGGUCAACGCCAGUUUUACUCCUGGGUUUCAGAUUUCAUGCCUCGUUGGAGUUUAAACAACAUAAUCCUUUGGUUUAGAUCAUACAUUUAUCACAACUUCUUUUCAUCUCCCACCACUAGUUCCAUGAACUACGGAACUCUGAAUUCCUUAUUGCACUAUGAGGAUAUGUAUGUAUGAGGGCCCCAAUCCUCACCGAGCACUCUAUCUAUUAUUUUCCUUUCCCCUUAUUCUUUUGUGAGUAAUCCUUAGAUAGAACACCCAUUCAAGCUUAGAACAAUCAAAAAGGUUUGUAUGGAGUACCAUGGAUGUAAGGGGUGCUAAUACUUUCCUCUUGCAUAACCGACUUCCUUACUCAUAUUCUCUUUCCUUAGGUUUUAUCGAUGUUUUCCAUUUCCUUCGGGAAUAAAUAAAGUUUGAUGGCGACUAUGUUGUAUGUUCGAGCGUGCGAUGCAUUCGGGUAUAUUUCCGCUAGCUUCAAUCUCCGCCAACAACCACCGCGCUAGAGGUUGCCUCGGGCAGUGGUUGUUCUCCAUACUCUAAAUUAAAACCACUAUCAGAAGCGCAAUGAUGAGCUGAAUAUGAAUCUGAAUUCAAUUUGAUAAGAUUCUCCCUCAGAAGGCCAAUUCAAAGAUGAAGGCUCAAGAACCCUAGGCACCUCAUGUUAAACUAAAUAGUUAUUACGAGGAAUCAAAGCCCAAGAGGUUAGGGCUUUGGUUCCCCUAAAAAAUACCUACAUCCUGGUGCGAAAUAAUUGAAGAAAAUGAGAGGUUCAAGAUUUACCUCGCCGGAGAAGACAAGUUGAAACGGUCUCAACUUCCCUUCUCUACUUUUCUUGCUGCGAAAUCAUCUUCUCCUUCUAUUCCUCUUCUUUCUUCUUCUAAAUCUGUGAGUGAAAUGGUGAGGAUCGAUUUUGAGUGCUCUGAGUUUGUGAGGGUCCGAGGGUUGAGAUUGAUGGAGGUCUAAUGAAGGUGAUGAGGAUAGAUCUAAUUCAGAGGUGAUAAAGAUUUAGAGAAGGUUUAGAGGUUUGUAGAUGGUUGUUGAGUUUGAGAGGUUGAAGAUGAUUGUUGGAAAUUAUCAUAUUCUAAUUUAGUGAUUUUGAGGGAGAAAUGAUUAGGGGAGAGAUUAUGAGGUAAUGAUUGGAUUUUGAUCAAUGAUUGGAGAAUAUGCUUUUAUAGGUUGUUAGGAUUUGUAUUUUGUGACAAUUUUGUUAGGGAAGUUUAACUGCAUUAUUAAAAUCAUGGGCACAAAGUUUCUUGGUUAGUUGUAACUAAAUUUGGCUUUGAAAUCGAGGCAUUCGGUUAGUUAUGUUUUCUGAAAUGUGAUUGGAUAGUUAUGUUCAGUUCAUUGGACUGAAUUAGUUGAUUGGCAAUGUUAGGUUUUGCAGAUGUUAAAUGGUUAACUGCAAUGUUGUUGUUGAAUGGAUUGACUCGAUUGUGAAUUGAUAUGUGUUGCUUUGCUUUUGAAUUGUUUUGCUAGAUUUUUCCUUGCCUUGCUAAUUGAAAUGGUGUGAUUGUUGCAAUAUCUGUUAAUGGAUUGUUGUUUGCACUAUAAGUUGUAUCAGCUAUGUUGUUGUUGCAAUUGUGUUGCAGUUUAUUGUUUGUUGUUUAAUAGGUUUAACAUUACCCGAUGAUGUUUGCAGCUUGUUGCUAAUUGUUCAUGUUGGUGCAGACUUGGUUGCUAUGUAAUGUACAUGUUCUGACUUUGCAUUUGGUUGGUGGCAUGUGUAGGUUCAUUUUCAAUGGAUGGUCUGCCUUGGUCAUUUGGUGUUGCAAUGUACGGCCUUGCAUAGAAAUGCUUGAAAAGGCCAUGGAUAGGCUAGUUUUACAAUGGCUUGUGGCAUGAUGAUGAACAUGGCCAAGGGUGACUUGUAAAUGAAGUAAGCAUGAUGGAAGCAAGCAAACAUGGAUUUUGAUGAUGAAUCAAUGGAAAAGGGAUUAGGUUAGGUCUUAGGAUAGUCAAGGGGGUCAGUUGACUUUAGUCAACUGGUUGACAAAAAGUCAAAUGUUGUAAAAAUGGUCAAUUGUGAUUUUGUACAUGUAUGGACUUUGAGUAUGAUUGUAUAACGAAACUUGAUAUUUUAAAUGGAUGGUAUGAAAAUG